rnacentral:rRNA from 1 species
UAAAGAAUAAGAAACUUUGGUAAGUGUACCUUUUGUAUCAGGGGAAUUUAAAAGUGAAAGUAAUAAAAUAUCGAUUUAAGCAGAGCCUUGUGUAAAAUAGUUAUAAUUGAAUUUAUAACUUUAAUAGGUUAUGGGGUGAAAAAUUUACGGUGUUUAUAGUAACUAUUUGUUUUUUUAUUGAGGGGUAAGCUUUCAUUGGCUUAAGUAAAAAAAAAAAAGUUAGGAAUUAGGCUUUGUAUUAGUCAAAUUGUUAAAUUGUUUUAAAUAACUCACUAGUGUAAAAUAAAUUUUAAGAUUAAAAGACUUGGCCUAGCAGUGUAAAAAGGUUAAAAUAAUGAAUUUAUUGAAUAUAGGUUGGAAUACUUAAAUAACUCAGGGUAAGCUAGAAUGUUUAGCAAAAACAUUUUCUUUUGCUGUAAGUAAGAUAAGGCCUGCCCGGUGAUUUUCUUAACGGCUGCGGUAUUUUGACUGUGCUAAGGUAGCAUAAUCAUUUGUUAUUUAAUUGGUAACUGGAAUGAAAGGUUAAACUAACUUAUUUAGUUUGGAGUGUUUUUUAAGAAGUUAAAGUCAAGGUAAGAAUUCUUUGAUUUUCUAGGGGACGAUAAGACCCUAGAAGCUUGACAAUAAGAAUAUUUUUUUAGUUUUAAAGAUUUAUUUGUUUUACUGGGGCGGUAAAGAUAUAUAAACUAUUAAAUUAUUGGUAGAUCCUUAAAAUAAAGAUAAAACGGAAAAGUUACUCUAGGGAUAACAGUGCAAUAUUUUUGGAGAGAUCAUAUCGAUAAAAAUGUUUGCAACCUCGAUGUUGAAUUAAAAUGUCUACGUGAGGCAGCAGAUACGUAAGAGGGUUUGUUCAACCUUUAAAU